GAGGAGGAGGAGAGGAGGAGAUGAGGAGGAGGAGGAGAGGAGGGAGGAGAUGAGGAGGAGAUCAGGAGGGAGGAGAUGAGGAGGAGGAGGAGGAGAGGAGGAGAUGAGGAGGAGGAGAUGGAGAUGAGGAGGAGAGGAGGAGAAGAGGAGGAGAUGAGGAGGAGGAGGAGAUGAGAUGAGGAGAGGAGGAGAUGAGGAGGAGAAGAGGAGGAGAUGAGGGAGGAGAGGAGGAGGAGAGGAGGAGGAGAUGAGAGAUGAGGAGGAGAUGAGGAGAUGAGGAGGAGAUGAGGAGGAGAAGAGGGGGAGAAGAGAAGGAGAUGAGGUGGAGAUGAGGAGGAGAUAAGAGAUAAGCCUGUCAAACUGCCCUGCUGCAUUUACCCCUGACACAAACCCCUCCUUCUGCCCUGAUGCAGGGGUAAAUCCCAGCCUCUCUACCCUCUGGGGCAGGCGUUGGGGCAGGCGUUGGGCAGGCGUUGGGGCAGGCGUUGGGCAGGCGUUGGGGACCGUGUGGGACUACAGGUGACACCCUGGCCUCUGCUACAGCCUUAAGAUGCUCAUGUAUGGCGAUGCAGACCUUUCCAGUCUCUACGGAGACGACCUUGUUGACCUUCACACACACACACACACACACACACAAACACACAGAGCCGGUGCAAGUCAAAUGGAGCAGCCGACUCCAGAGGGAUGCCUGCACACCACACACACUCACACAGCACACACACUCUACACCACACACACUCACUCACACAGCACACACUCUACACCACACAGACUCCACUCCACUCACACAGCACACACACUCCGCUCCACACACUCUGCACCACACAGACUCCACCACACACACACUCUACACCACACACACACACUACACCACACACACUCUGCUCCACACACACUCUGCUCCACACACACUCUGCACCACACACACUCUGCACCACACACACUCCGCUCGCGAUGAGGCACGUGGGGAGUAUCUCCCAAGACAGAGCAGACUCCGAGACCCUUAUCUGAAGCCGGACCUGGGCCAGGUCAGCGCCGGAGCUAACUGCUCCCUGGGCUCCUACUCCACACACACACACACUCUACACCACACACACUCUACUCCAACACACACUCUACACCACACACACUCUACUCCAACACACACUCAGAGCCGGAGCCGACUGCUCCCUGGGCUCCUACUCCACACACACACACUCUACACCACACACUCUCUACUCCAACACACACUCUACACCACACACACACACACACUACACCACACACACACUCUACACCACACACACUCUACACCACACACACUCAGAGCCUGAGCCGACUGCUCCCUGGGCUCCUACGGCUGAUUCGGGAUCAUACGCUCCAGCGCCACUCGCCUGGAUCCGGCAGCAGAGUACGGCAAACACACACACACACACACACACAC
ensembl:lncRNA